rnacentral:rRNA from 1 species
UAGCAUGGCGGGGGCCUACUGUGCGUCUCGAGCGUGAUGAGUGGAUCUUGCUCCGUGAUUCCGCGGCAGACGGGUGAAUAGUGCCUAAGAAUCUGCGUGGUAGUGGGGGACAACUUUUCAAAGAGAACGCUAAUACCGCAUACCUCCUACGGGAGAAAGUGGGGGAUCUUCAGACCUCACGCUAUCAUAUGACCCUAUGUCAGAUUAUCUAUUUGGUGAGGUAAGGGCUCACCAGGGCGAAUAUCCGUAAGUGGUCAGAGAAGAAGAUCACUCACUGUGGAAGUGACACGCGGCCCACACUCCUACGGGAGGCCACAGUGGGGAAUAUUGGACAGUGGGAGAACCCCUGAUCCCCCCGUGCCGCGUGUGUAAAAAAUGUCUUCAGAUUGUAAAGCUUUUUAUUUUGGGAAGAAGGGCAAUAUUUUUAUACUUUGGUGUUUUGACUUUACCAACAAAAUACACCCCGGCUAACUUCGUGCCCACCCCCGCGGAUAUAAAAAGGGUGCAAGCGUUAAUCGAAAUUAGUGGGCAUAAAGCGCGCAUAGGUGUUUCUUUAAUUUGUAUGAGAACCCCCCGGGCUCACCCUGAGCACUGUCUCCAACAGUGGAGAUCUAGUAUAUGACAGAGGGUGGUGAAUUUUCCUGUGUAGCGGUAAAGUGCAUAUAUAUAGGAGAGAACACCUGUGGAGAACGCGACCCCCUGCUCAAACUCUGACACUGAUGUGCAAACGCGUGGAGAACAAACAAUUAUAUAUACCCUGGGUACUCCACGCCGAAAAAUAUGUCCACUACCCUUUGAUAUCCGUGAUAUCUUUGGGGCACAUCUCACACAUUAUCUCCACCCGCCUGGAGAACACGGCCGCC